rnacentral:rRNA from 1 species
UACAGAGGGUGCAAGCGUUAAUCGGAAUUACUGGGCGUAAAGCGUGCGUAGACGGUUACAUAAGUCGGGUGUGAAAGCCCCGGGCUCAACCUGGGAAUUGCAUUCGAGACUGCGUAGCUAGGGUACGGUAGAGGGAAGCGGAAUUUCCGGUGUAGCGGUGAAAUGCGUAGAUAUCGGAAGGAACACCAGUGGCGAAAAGCGGCUUCCUGGACCAGUACCGACGUUCAGGCACGAAAGCGUGGGGAGCAAACAGG